UUGUACACAACUGGGAUAUCUGUUUGACUACUCAGAGAUCACAUGAGGUCCCCAACAGUGACAAAUUCUACAGACAAUGAAAUGGAAGAAAAGCAGACACACUGUCAGAGGAAAUGGCAACCUACUGCAGCCAUCAUGCAAACCACUGCAGCUUUUCGACAACUGAACAAGUGGAAGAUUCAUGUCAGGAACUGAAACAGGAAGUUGGGGGACUCCAUGAGUUUGAAGAGGUACCAUAACACAUUCCCUACAGUAAUUAGGGCUUCCCUUAACAAAGCCAAGGCUGGCACCUGGGUAGAUGUUCUUUGUUGAUUACGAAGUCUUAAUGUGGACUAGCUUCAGAAGCUUCUCAGAGCCAAACCGUCAUCUCUUUGCCUUUCUGCUACGAAGACCACACUCCCAUCCAGGCCACCCACCAGGUUCCAUUUGGUGGAACCCCCACCAAGGACACCUUUAGCUGUUGAUUGCUUUAUAGAAUAACCGGGCUGGAUGACAGCCCUGAGCAGUUUGCCAGUGUGGUCUAGUUUUCUAGGUUUCCCUGGUGAGUCAACAGGAAUGUAUCUACUUGUCUCUGGGAAUUGCAGUUCUACAUCAUCACCUAAAGUCUUCCAGAUUUUCCUGAAGAGAGGCAAAUGUGCAACGAGACGAGAAAUCAGUGAUAGGAAGAAAACUGUAAAGGUGUAAAACACAACUGAAAGCUGACUGUUGAAUUAACAUCGUGGUGAACAAGGGAACAGGACAGAAAGGGCUCCAAAUCUCCAGGAGCUGGUGAUCAACCAGGAAAGGGAAACAUUGACCGGACGGGAAAGCCACGAUUCACAGGUGGCUACACCAAUAGAAGAAAGCCAGUCAACAUCAUGUUGUGAUCGUCCCUGGCUCUUUUCUUCCGAGCUGUUUAUGAAGCAGGGAUCUCACAGGAAGCUGGGCUGUAAAGUUCUGGGCAGAGGUCUUGGAUGUGAGUCAUGGAAAUGAACCUGAACUGAGAGUUGCUUUCCAAAGACUAUCUCACCACUGGGAUUCAGGCUGAACAAAGGAGUUAGAUUCAGUGAGUUCUCUAUAUACUCACCUCGGAAGAUCUGGAGCAGGAACCACGGCUGAGAGAGAACAUGCAGGGUUGGUCUUUCUGCAUCUGGUUUACCUCAC
rnacentral:lncRNA from 1 species